AGCGAACGCUGGCGGCGUACUUAACACAUGCAAGUCGAACGAGGAUCGCCUGUGUAGCAAUACAUAGGCGGUUCUAGUGGCGUACGGGUGAGUAACACGUGGGCAACCUGCCCUUGAGUCCGGGAUACCCUCUCGAAAGGGAGGCUAAUACUGGAUACGUUCCUCGGGUCGCGAGAUCUGGGGAGGAAAGGUGGCGAAAGCUGCCGCUCUUGGAGGGGCUUGCGGCCUANCAGCUAGUUGGUGAGGUAAUGGCUCACCAAGGCUAUGACGGGUAGCUGGUCUGAGAGGACGACCAGCCACACGGGAACUGAGACACGGUCCCGACUCCUACGGGAGGCAGCAGUGGGGAAUUUUCCGCAAUGGGCGAAAGCCUGACGGAGUGACGCCGCGUGGGGGAC
rnacentral:rRNA from 1 species